CGUGGAAGAAUUCGCCGUACGAUAAGGAAUCCUAAACAAACAACAACGGACGGGCGACGUUUCGAUCCACGUGCUCCGUUUACUACGUGUCCUUUAAUGCUGCACAAGCAAACUAUCCACAACAACAUUAUCUGCACGCUCUCCUCUCUCUCUCUCUCUCUCUUUCACUUGGGUCUCUUGGAUGGCAUUAAGGUACUCUUCACAAUUGACUGCCACCGGAUGUGGAACCAUGUGUGAAAGUUUUCGGUGCGCUAUCAUGUCGUGUCUACUAAACUCUCCAGCAGCAAGUAGCUAGCACGGGUUUCGUUCGGUGGGUUUUCCCUCCCCAUCAAAGCAUCCAUUGACACACGCUUCCAGUACGAAAUGUCAAAACAUUAUCGUACCCAGUAACCUUCGAUGUGAACUCGCUGCCUCUCUUCACGUCACCCUGGCCCGCCAAUGGUGGGGGCCAUUUUGUUCUUCUUCAAAACACCUUUCCAGCCGGUACCCCAUCACACACCUGUAGAUCUGUGUACACCGGUCAGUUGCGAUAUCCGUGGCGCCAGCAUGGUUUCGUGGUCGAAGGAUGUGUUGUUUAUUGUUCUUUACCAACACGGUACGUGUGACAACGCGGCGAAGGUGUGAACGAUGUUGGGAUGGCAAAAUAAAGUGUUCACCGAUCAGGCCAGCGCGAUCUGCGCCGUUGGUUCACCGUGGUGUUUUAUUUUUUUUUUCGUCGCCAUUCUGCUUUCGCUCCUUUUCUCGCGACACUGUUGACAAAUCUGUCCAACCAUCGAAAGCAAACAGUCAAAGGAACCUGUGCUCGCCGGUGGUACCGCCAGGAGAAGGAUGGCGGUAAAGCCCAACCACUUCCAAAGCACUCUUUGCGCCUGUCACCCUGGGCAACUGAAGGAAGAGGCUGAUGAAAUGUCAGGAUUGAUCUGCAGAUCUUGCUUCAGUUUACAGUGGAUGGCAGCAGGGAAAGAGAGUAAAAACUGCUCAAAUGCACAACAUGGACGGGUGAGCGGAAAAUAUCAUCACUUACUACACGCGUUACCCACUGUACGGCGAAGGCCACUCUCGGUACCGGCAGGCGAAAGGAAUCUUGUGGGUAAACAUUUGCACAGCCAAAUCCCUGCAGUCUGUGGAGUUCGUUUUGUAGUUCUGUGCCAUCUUGCGUCCCCAGGUAAGCUUCUUCUUGUCAUCCACCAGAUUGAUUGGGUCAACUUAUGUACAAACCAUUUUUUUUUUUUUGGCGAUGGAAUUUUAACAAAACAAAGCAAACAAUCGGCACUACAGUACAGGUGACAUUUAGGAGAGGCGAUAGAUUACUCAUAGAUCAGAAGAUAAAGCAAUCCUAUCCCCCUUUUUUGGACCGUAGUGGACACCUUGACGGGGGUGCUACAUUACAUAUGUUGAAGUUGUCCAAGAGGAUUUGGGAGUUUGGAUGACAUAGAGGUCUAUUGAGAGGUCUAAUACAAAGUCUUAGUGCUUCGAUGUGACAGCUUGAUAACCAAUUAACUAUAUGGUCAUCAACGACUUAUGAGGCUUCAUGGCAACGAACUGCAGCAAAACGGAGCCCAGCAUUUUCCGGACAGUUUGGGGGCGUUUUUGCAACUCCGAACACCUGGGCGACUCCAGAUGAUUCCCAUAUCCUCCAGGAUGAGCAUGGGACAAGAUAUACAGUAUGUCCUGCUCACAACACUGGAAUUUAUUCUUCCACAUCAGCUUCAACGAGUGAAAAACUUCCUUUAAAGGGGUUGCCUACAUAACUAUAGUGUUCAGCAUAACACCUGUCAUCUGUUCUUACCUUCGGAACCCGGGUCGCUCAACAGCAAGAACACGAUUUAACGUACACGAGGGUACACUAUCUUAUCUAUCCCCAUCAGGAUUACAUUUUUCUACGUAACGAUUGCGUGCCUUCCAACGUCUGGAUGUGGUAUCUAUCUUUUUGGCCUUUGUUUUAUUUAUAUGCCCUAGUCUCGGAUUUAUCGGCACAGCAAUAAGCAAUGGGGUCUUACGCAUUCGUUCUGCACGCCCCGGAUUAGCGCACGGUCUAAUGAGUCCGUCCGAAACACGACGGCAGAAAUAAUAAGCAACAAAAUGGAGGCACACUCGUAAAGUCAUUAAAUAAAUCUCUGUUAAAUUAUCAAAUGAACAAAUUUGUCUGAACGCUAAUGUGACAAAACGGAUGCGUUACUGCAUCCCAAUUUAUUCGUCCGGCCCGUUUUCGCAAAAGUGUGGAUUGCAAUAAAAAAUUAUAACUAAAUAAAUGCACGCGUGGCCAACAGUGAUCAAAGGAGCUCAUACCGACCCCUGCCCUUAAUCAACAGUUGACUGACAUGCCUUGGACUUCGGUUUUCUGGCUACCACUCUUAGCUACUCUCUGUCAGUCGCUGUCGCUGAACUGGGAAACUGCAACCACAACCAAAAAAAAAAAAAAACAAAACGCAC